rnacentral:rRNA from 1 species
CCUAACACAUGCAAGUCGAGCGGGAAACCGCGCCCGGAAGCUUCGGCGGAAGGGGGCGGCGGACAGCGGCGGACGGGUGAGUAACGCGUGGGCAACCUGCCCCUUGCAGGGGGACAGCCGGGGGAAACCCCGGGUAAUACCCCAUAACGCGGAGGCGCCACAUGGCGCUUCGGCCCAAAGAUUCAUCGGCAAGGGAUGGGCCCGCGUCCGAUUAGCUUGUUGGCAGGGCAGCGGCCUACCAAGGCGACGAUCGGUAGCCGGCCUGAGAGGGCGGACGGCCACAUUGGAACUGAGACACGGUCCAGACUCCUGCGGGAGGCAGCAGUGGGGAAUAUUGCACAAUGGGCGCAAGCCUGAUGCAGCAACGCCGCGUGAGGGAGGAAGGCCUUCGGGUCGUAAACCUCUGUCCCUGGGGAAGAAACAAAUGACGGUACCCAUGGAGGAAGCCCCGGCUAACUACGUGCCAGCAGCCGCGGUAAUACGUAGGGGGCGAGCGUUAUCCGGAAUUACUGGGCGUAAAGAGUGCGUAGGCGGCUCUUUAAGCGCGGGGUCUAAGACCGCGGCUCAACCGCGGGCCGCCCCGCGAACUGGAGGGCUUGAGUGCGGGAGAGGAAGGCGGAAUUCCUAGUGUAGCGGUGAAAUGCGUAGAUAUUAGGAGGAACACCGGUGGCGAAGGCGGCCUUCUGGACCGAGACUGACGCUGAGGCACGAAAGCGUGGGUAGCAAACAGGAUUAGAUACCCUGGUAGUCCACGCCGUAAACGAUGAGCACCAGGUGUCGGGCCCUAAGGGUCCGGUGCCGAAGCCAACGCAAUAAGUGCUCCGCCUGGGGAGUACGCACGCAAGUGUAAAACUCAAAGGAAUUGACGGGGACCCGCACAAGCAGCGGAGCAUGUGGUUUAAUUCGAAGCAACGCGAAGAACCUUACCAGGGCUUGACAUCCCGUCGAACGGCCGGGCAACGCCGGCCUUCUCUUCGGAGCUCGGCGGAGACAGGUGGUGCAUGGUUGUCGUCAGCUCGUGUCGUGAGAUGUUGGGUUAAGUCCCGCAACGAGCGCAACCCCUGCGGCCAGUUGCCAUCAUUAGGUUGGGCACUCUGGCGGGACUGCCGGGGACAACCCGGAGGAAGGCGGGGAUGACGUCAAAUCAUCAUGCCCCUUAUGUUCUGGGCGACACACGUGCUACAAUGGCCGGCACAGAGGGAAGCGAAGGAGCGAUCCGGAGCCAAGCCCGAAAGCCGGUCCCAGUUCGGACUGCAGGCUGAAACCCGCCUGCACGAAGCCGGAGUUGCUAGUAAUCGCGGAUCAGCAUGCCGCGGUGAAUGCGUUCCCGGGUCUUGUACACACCGCCCGUCACACCAUGGAAGCCGGGG